rnacentral:rRNA from 1 species
GGAGUUAGCCGGUGCUUCUUCUGUGAGUGAUGUACUUCCUGCCGGCUAUUAACCCGCAGGCCUUCUUCCUCACUGAAAGUGCUUUACAACCCGAAGGCCUUCUUCACACACGCGGCAUGGCUGGAUCAGGGUUGCCCCCAUUGUCCAAUAUUCCCCACUGCUGCCUCCCGUAGGAGUCUGGGCCGUGUCUCAGUCCCAGUGUGGCUGAUCAUCCUCUCAGACCAGCUACGGAUCGUCGCCUUGGUGAGCCGUUACCUCACCAACCAGCUAAUCCGACAUAGGCUCAUCCGAUAGCGCGAGGCCCGAAGGUCCCCCGCUUUCCCCCGUAGGGCGUAUGCGGUAUUAGCCUGGGUUUCCCCAGGUUAUCCCCCACUACCGGGCAGAUUCCUAUGCAUUACUCACCCGUCCGCCGCUCGCCACCAGGGAGCAAGCUCCCCGUGCUGCCGCUCGACUUGCAUGUGUUAGGCCUGCCGCCAGCGUUCAAUCUGAGCCAUGAUCAAACUCUGA